ACAAGAGAUUGGUUAUAUGGCGAUGAGCAAGAAUCACAAGAAGUUAAAUUGGACGAGUUAACUGAAGAUGUAAUGGAGUUGGAGAUCAACAAGGGCAAAGAGGAUGCUUCAAAUUAUUGAUUUGUUUAUAUCCGUGUUUUCAUCAUGUUUGAGAAAUGAUACAUUUAAUAUGUUUAUAAUGUGUGUUUUGUUUAUUAUAUUUGGGAUGUAAUUUUAAUAUUAUUACAAUGUGUGUGGAAUGUGGAUCAUAUUUGUGUAU